rnacentral:lncRNA from 1 species
UUUUUUAGGGUUUUGGUUUUGCUUCUGACACUGUUAGAAUCUAAGUAUUAUUGGCAUAAAAUACAACUAAAGUAACAAGUUAAAGUAUUUAUUCUGAUUUAGGUGGUACUCACCCCUCCCCACGAAAGCUUCACACCCACUGAAAGUAGAUCAGCCACAAAGCAUAAAAAUAUAUUUUUGUCUGUUCCACACAUGAUAACUUACAAAUUUAUAGCAUCAAGUUUCUUUCCAGGUGAACACCUAUACCAUAAAGUGGAAAAAUAAUACUGUAUGAAUCAUGUUUGCAUAAAGUUAGCUUCUUUCAUAAUUACUUUCACUUAAAUCCUAUGGUAGUCUCAGGUUAGCAAAUAAUAUGUUUGAUCUUUGUUUUUUUUUAAGAAAAUGUAUUUACCAAAUAAGAGUCAGAAAUGUCUGUUUCACAGAACAUCCCAAGGGAUGUUUUUAUUUUCUCUUUAUGUUAUUACUUUAUGAACACAUGGAAAAUAAUGUUAUACUGAAACAGAAUAGUAAUAGCGUUGCUGACCUAUGUCAGUAUAGAAGAGGGCAACACCAUGUGUUCUUCCUUCAGGCAAAAUACAUAAUUUAUCCACUUUGCAUAGAACAAGUAACUUAAAUUAUCUAGCUACUCACAAUAUUAAUAUAUGACAUUAAAUGUGUAAAAUUAUUCAUCAGCAAUAAUUUGAGUAAAUGUUCAGUUUGUAAUUAGGAAAAACUGUUAAAGUGUGCAUGAGGGGGGAGGGGGGAGUUAGUGUGUGGUAUUUUUUUAUGGUUUUAAGUCAAAGGAGAACACAAAUACAGCUCUCCACUACCUGAAACAGUGUGCCUGAGCUGAAACCAAAGAAGUCAAUGUACCCAUGACACAGAGGAUUAAACACAUCCUGGGAAAAUGACUUCUUGAUCAUAGUGUCUGCUCUGCCAGGAAAAGGAUUUAAAUUAGUGAGCAGAAACCAGAGUAAGGAUACAGGUAUCUGAAUGCCUCUACAUAAAAGAGAACUGACACACAGAAAAGAGGAAACGUUAUAUCAUAGACUGCUAAACAGUUGCAAUCCUUGAAACAAGCACUACGGCCACCUACGUGUUCCCUGCUCAAACACAGCUAUGUCGGCUUGUGAAGGUAACAUGAAGACUCC